GAUGAACGCUGGCGGCGUGCCUAAUACAUGCAAGUCGAGCGGACAGACGAGGAGCUUGCUCCUCUGACGUUAGCGGCGGACGGGUGAGUAACACGUGGAUAACCUAACUAUAAGACUGGGAUAACUUCGGGAAACCGGAGCUAAUACCGGAUAAUAUAUUGAACCGCAUGGUUCAAUAGUGACAGACGGUUUUGCUGUCCCUGAUAGAUGGCUCCGCGCCGCAUUAGCUAGUUGGUACGGUAACGGCUUACCAAGGCAACGGUGCGUAGCCGACCUGACAGGGGGAACCGGCACACAGGGACUGAGACACGGCCCAGACUCUGACGGGAGGCAGCGGCAGGGAAGCGUCCGAGAUGGGCGAAAGCUUGACGGAGGAGCGCCGGGUGAGUGAUGAAGGGCUUCGGAUGGGAAGACUCUGUUAGUAGGGAAGAACAAAUGUGGAAGUAGCGAUGCACGUCGUGACGGUACCUAAACAGAAAGCCACGGCUAACUACGUG
rnacentral:rRNA from 1 species